AUUGAACGCUGGCGGCAGGCCUACCACAUGCAAGUCGAACGAGUGGCGGACGGGUGAGUAAUGUCUGGGAAACUGCCCGAUGGAGGGGGAUAACUACUGGAAACGGUAGCUAAUACCGCAUACCAUCAGAUGCGCCCAGAGGGGAUUCGCUAGUUGGUGGGGUAACGGCUCACCCAGGCGACGAUCCCUAGCUGGUCUGAGAGGCUGCCCAGCCACACUGUAACUGAGACACGUUCCAGACUCCGACGGGAGGCAGCAGUGGGGAAUAUUGCACAAUGGGCGCAAGCCUGAUGCAGCCAUGCCGCGUGUAUGAAGAAGGCCUUCUGGUUGGAAAGUACUUUCAGCGGGGAGGCGUUACCCGCAGAAGAAGCACCGGCUGACUCCGUGCCAGCAGCCGCGUUAAUAC
rnacentral:rRNA from 1 species